rnacentral:rRNA from 1 species
CCUACGGGAGGCAGCAGUAGGGAAUCUUCCACAAUGGGCGAAAGCCUGAUGGAGCAACGCCGCGUGGGUGAAGAAGGUCUUCGGAUCGUAAAACCCUGUUGUUAGAGAAGAAAGCGCGUGAGAGUAACUGUUCACGUUUCGACGGUAUCUAUCCAGAAAGCCACGGCUAACUACGUGCCAGCAGCCGCGGUAAUACGUAGGUGGCAAGCGUUAUCCGGAUUUAUUGGGCGUAAAGGGAACGGAGGCGGUCUGUUAAGUCUGAUGUGAAAGCCUUCGGCUUAACCGGGGUAGUGCAUUGGAAACUGGGAGACUUGAGUGCAGAAGAGGAGGGUGGAACGUCAGGUGUAGCGGUGAAAUGCGUAGAGAU